UGGGGAAUAUUGGGGCAAUGGGCGAAAGCCUGACCCAGCAACGCCGCGUGAAGGAAGAAGGUUUUCGGAUUGUAAACUUCUUUUAUCAGGGACGAAGAAAGUGACGGUACCUGAUGAAUAAGCCACGGCUAACUACGUGCCAGCAGCCGCGGUAAUACGUAGGUGGCAAGCGUUGUCCGGAUUUACUGGGUGUAAAGGGCGUGCAGCCGGGAAUGCAAGUCAGAUGUGAAAUCCAUGGGCUUAACCCAUGAACUGCAUUUGAAACUGUAUUUCUUGAGUACUGGAGAGGCAAUCGGAAUUCCUAGUGUAGCGGUGAAAUGCGUAGAUAUUAGGAGGAACACCAGUGGCGAAGGCGGAUUGCUGGACAGCAACUGACGGUGAGGCGCGAAAGUGUGGGGAGCAAACAGGAUUAGAUACCCUGGUAGU
rnacentral:rRNA from 1 species